rnacentral:miRNA from 1 species
CAGUGCCGCUGUGUCUUGCAGGAAGCUGGCAUUUCCUUCGUGAGCAUGUGCUCACUUUGGGAGAGUCUUGCUGGUUGGUGCUCACUGUGUUUU